UACAGAGGUCCCGAGCGUUGUUCGGAUUCACUGGGCGUAAAGGGUGCGUAGGUGGUGAGGUAAGUCGGAUGUGAAAUCUCCGAGCUCAACUCGGAAAUGCAUUGGAAACUACCUUGCUUGAGGGUUGGAGGGGGGGACUGGAAUACUUGGUGUAAGCAGUGAAAUGCGUAGAUAUCAAGUGGAACACCAGUGGCGAAGGCGAGUCCCUGGACAACUCCUGACACUGAGGCACGAAAGCUAGGGGAGCAAACAGG
rnacentral:rRNA from 1 species